UGACAGAGUGUUAGUCGAGUUGUGGGUACAAACACUUUGAGGCAGAUUCUUCAAAGUACCCUUACCUAAAAAAUUUAGGGAAAACUGGGAAGUAAGAUAUUCCUCUGGGUGGCUGGAGCCUGAGCAAUAGUUGCCGGAUUAUUAGGAAAACUGGUAAUCAGCCAGGCUAUGUCUGCAUCAAGUGCUAGUAACAGGUGUCACUGAGAGCUCACUAGGAACCACAGUCACAGAAAUAACUCACAGGUAUGCUAAAUAUGUUAGUAUAUCAUUAGGCAUAGAGUUAAGUGAGUUUAUU
rnacentral:lncRNA from 1 species